rnacentral:rRNA from 1 species
ACGUGGGUGAUCUGCCCUGCACUCUGGGAUAAGCCUGGGAAACUGGGUCUAAUACCGGAUAUGACCUCGGGAUGCAUGUUCUGGGGUGGAAAGUUUUUCGGUGCAGGAUGAGCCCGCGGCCUAUCAGCUUGUUGGUGGGGUAAUGGCCUACCAAGGCGACGACGGGUAGCCGGCCUGAGAGGGCGACCGGCCACACUGGGACUGAGACACGGCCCAGACUCCUACGGGAGGCAGCAGUGGGGAAUAUUGCACAAUGGGCGCAAGCCUGAUGCAGCGACGCCGCGUGAGGGAUGACGGCCUUCGGGUUGUAAACCUCUUUCACCCAUGACGAAGCGCAAGUGACGGUAGUGGGAGAAGAAGCACCGGCCAACUACGUGCCAGCAGCCGCGGUAAUACGUAGGGUGCGAGCGUUGUCCGGAAUUACUGGGCGUAAAGAGCUCGUAGGCGGUUUGUCGCGUCGUCUGUGAAAUCCCGCAGCUCAACUGCGGGCUUGCAGGCGAUACGGGCAGACUCGAGUACUGCAGGGGAGACUGGAAUUCCUGGUGUAGCGGUGAAAUGCGCAGAUAUCAGGAGGAACACCGGUGGCGAAGGCGGGUCUCUGGGCAGUAACUGACGCUGAGGAGCGAAAGCGUGGGUAGCGAACAGGAUUAGAUACCCUGGGUAGUCCACGCCGUAAACGGUGGCGCUAGGUGUGGGGUUUCCUUCCACGGGGAUCCGUGCCGUAACCCAACGCCAUUAAGCCGCCCCCCGCCCCUGAGGA